rnacentral:rRNA from 1 species
UACGUAGGGAGCAAGCGUUGUCCGGAAUCAUUGGGCGUAAAGAGCUCGUAGGCGGCUUGGUAAGUCGGAUGUGAAACCUCCAGGCUCAACCUGGAGUCGCCAUCCGAUACUGCCAUAGCUAGAGUCCGGUAGGGGCCCACGGAACUCCUGGUGUGAGCGGUGAAAUGCGCAGAUAUCAGGAAGAACACCGGUGGCGAAGGCGGUGGGCUGGGGCCGGCACUGACGGCUGAGGAGCGAAAGCGUGGGGAGCGAACAGG